rnacentral:rRNA from 1 species
GAUGAACGCUGGCGGCGUGCCUAAUACAUGCAAGUCGAGCGAACAGACGAGGAGCUUGCUCCUCUGCCGUUAGCGGCGGACGGGUGAGUAACACGUGGAUAACCUACUUAUAAGACUGGGAUAACUUCGGGAAACCGGAGCUAAUACCGGAUCAUAUAUUGAACCGCUUGGUUCAAUAGUGAAAGACGGUUUUGCUGUCUCUUUUAGAUGGAUCCGCGUCGGAUUAGCUAGUUGGUAAGGUAACGGCUUACCAAGGCAACGAUGCGUAGCCGACCUGAGAGGGUGAUCGGCCACACUGGAACUGAGACACGGUCCAGACUCCUACGGGAGGCAGCAGUGGGGAAUCUUGCGCAAUGGGCGAAAGCUUGACGGAGCAACGCCGCGUGAGUGAAGAAGGUCUUCGGGUCGUAAAGCUCUGUUAUUAGGGAAGAACAAAUGUGUAAGUAACCAUGGACGUCUUGACGGUACCUAAACAGAAAGCCACGGCUAACUACGUG